UUAGGUAUAAUAUGCCGCGCACGGAUGAUGUGAUUGAACACGAUUAAUUUAAAAAACGUAUUUAAUUGUAUGAGCAAUAAACAUAUCAAGUACUCCUGCUUGUCGACAUGUAGGUAGGUAUUUUUAAAACUGUCCAUUAGUACUCCUAACGAGGUGUCACUUUAUUGUACACGAAUAAAUUGAUAGGUUCCCAUCUUAAAUACACCAUUCGGAUUCAGAAUCUUCCAGUUGUAUAUUAAAUACCCCAUUUCCGUCGCCACGCGCUGCGGAGACAUGGCUGGGAAAGAACAAAGUGUUUGGGUUGUUGAGGGCUGGGGGUGGGAAGUGAGAUUACAUUGCUAUCCUCCAUGAUCUAGGAAGACGAGCAAAGCUGGAGAAGUGAGACAAAUCCUCUCAUUUGCUGUCCCUGUUCGAAAAUUGUACAUGAUAAAAACGUUCCUUUAAAAGCCUGAUUCAAUUGAUUUUUUUUCCCCUGAUACAAUUAGAGACAAACCGAAAUGAAUUGAUUUCUGAAAGCAGGCUCCGAGACAUUCAGAAACUAUGAUGUAAUGGACACUGAUAGAAGCUGUGACAAGAAGCAUUCGGUUUUAAAUGGACACUACUUUAAAGUUACAUGCGUUACGGACACACGUUUCAGAAUGGUCUGAAAUGGGAUUAUUUGCUUCCUUCAGGUCUGUGCUGAAUGUUUGUCCAUAACAAUAAUGAUAGGGACAGUGUUGCAAAACUUCAAACGACAUUAAUUAAUGCAGAAUUUGAAAGUACUACUGUUUUUAUGUAUGGAUUGAUCAUUUUUAAUUUACUGUGCUUUCAUAAAUGGGAUACAAUUUACAAAGUCGAACUGUCUUAUCAUGAAACUCGAAUCGAUGGUCGGUAUUUUAUUGCAUCUGUACUCUGCAGACAAUACUAAUUGAUUCAAGAACUCCCACUUUCAUGCUAAGGCAUCAUUCUAAUCUUUUUUUUGUCAGCCCAGCUUUAGACAGGGAUUUUAUAUCUGUCAACCUUAACUUGGAGAAAGGACUGCAAUUUCUCUGUAACCUGAAGUUAAAUAAGAAUUACUCCGAGACCAAAAACCUACAGUUUUCCCCAAUUCUAACACGAAUCUAACGAUAGCCUUAAAUAACAGCGAAUUCUAAUAAACAAGAUGUAACACUGAACCUAAAGACUUCUGCCUCUCCUAAGGAUAAACGUAAAUAAGAACUAAUCAUAAAUCUAAACAAGACCUAACCAUAAACAUAACUAAACCUAACCCCAAACUUUAGGAUGGCAACACCUCCGAACCGAAAUCUAAAUAAAACAUAAAGCUAAACGCUCAUUGUUGUAAACCAAAAUAACUCUUAACCAUAAACCGAAACCCACACCCCCACCUAACACAAGGCCUAUAGAAUUAACUCAAAAAACCUAUACAGGAACUUAAACAAAAUUAAAACAGUGUUUAACUCUAUACCUAAACAAACCUGAUUUCUAAACGUUGGGUUGACAUUUUCACCUAAUCGUAAACUUGAAGAAACCUGUAGGUAUCCCAAACCUAACUUUACCCUAACUCUAAACAAGCGGAAGCUUCAACUAGCCUGAACGAGGAAUAACCCUAAUUUAAAUAAACCGAUAACCUCAACUAAUCUGAAGAAGAUUUGACCAUAACUCAGUCAAGCCACAAUCUCAACUAUUCUGAACAAGGAAUUAUCCUAACCUAAACAAGCCGGCAGCUUCAACUAACCUGAACAGGAUGUAACCCUAACCUAAACAAGCUACAACAUCAACUAGCCUGAACAAGAUAUGACCAUCACCUAGAAAGGCGGCAGCUUCAACUAACCUUAACAAGAUAUAACCUUAACCUAAACAAGCCAUAACUUCAACUGACCCGAAUAAGGUAUAAUCCUAACUUAACCAAGCCGGCAACUUCAACUAACCUGAACAAUUUAUAACCUGGACCUAAAUUUAAAAAAACCCGGAUUUAAACAAGGUCACAGAUUCUCCUUGCCCUCGUCAUGUGCUAAUUCUGAUGUGUUAAGUCUCUUUCGAUGCAAAAACCUAAUUAGCUACUGACAAUUCCAAAGCAAUUUAAAUUUACCCUAUCACUUGCUUUAAACAAUGCUGAGGGAAAGCUUCGCUAUUUUGUUUGCGCUGCUAACUUUUACCUAAUUCUAUAUUUUAGUAAAACUAAGUCUAACUUUUGGCUCCAGGUGCUAUAUUGCUAAAAUCUGUAUAUUUUACAAGGCCGUGGUGUUUGAAAUGCCUCAAUGCAGACAUUGUGCCGCUCAAGAUUCCAGAUGAAACAUGCGAAGGGCGAUGUUGAUGCCUGAAAUUUAGAAUUAUUUUUGUUAGUAGAAAUUAGGUUCAGACUGUGUAUUUCAGAAUUUGCCAAUGUUUUAAGAUUCACUACUCCACUGCAACAAAAUCGGCCUACUUUUUCUGUUACCUUUAACCGUCCCUGAAUAAGGUUAGCAUUUUUGCUUUUCUUACCCCUAAAUAUGCAGUUUUGGUCAUCGUUCAUUUGAAGUGGGAAGGGCAACUACAUAACAGCAAUUCGUGACUAUAACUACACAUACAUCAUUAAAAUGUAACUGUUUCGCUCAACCUCUGGCGUGGACGGCAUCACUGAUUUUCAGGCCUUUUUUGAGAUUUCACUUAAAGUCGCACACUCCUUAUAAUUCGAUUCCUUUAUUCCACAGAAUUCACUCGAGUGCAAUCGAGGACAAGAGCUCGAGUCCUGAAAAGUGGUCGCCAUCUUUUACUUGUGGACGGUUACAAUGACUGAAAAUCUAUUCACAUUUGCUUCUCCUGCUAUGUUGGUGAAAACGUUUCUCCAAAAAUUUCUUCCGUUCCUUUGGAAUCUCGCAAGUCCUGUGAAAGAGAGCAGGGAUCCUGUCUACUCAAAAAGCUUAUUUUUUUCACAUAUUCAGAUAAGAAUUUGCGCCACCCCUUUUCUGCCCGAUCCGCGUUUAAAGUCUGCCUCACAGUCUGGCCGAUGCCACGCAAGGUCUGACCCUAUAACUUUGACCCUCUUAGGUCAAAGAAAUCUUUCUCAAGACGUAACGUCAUGUUCAUUCAACAAUAUAUGUUUCUCGCACGGCUGUAGUUUAUGUCUUGUUAACACUUUUAUUGCAAUCAUCUUGGAUAUGUUUCCUGAAUAUAUUUUACGCAUUCUGUUGUUAGAAAAUGGAUCCCGCUCGUAUUUUGCGUGCCGAAAGCGGGAAUGCCUUGUCCGCUUUGCCGUGAUGUUACCCACUCCCCCUCCUCCCCCCACCCCCAACUCCCCCUGGAACAUUCACUCGAACUGCUGCUUGCUGGGGCUAGAACUGUUUUGCUCAAAAGGUUUUAAUAUUCGUGUAAAAGACCCUCCCCCUAUCCCCAUACUCAAUUGUGAAGGAGCGUAUUCACUCUUUUGUUGUAGUUUGUGUUGGGGGUGGGGAGCUAGAGGCGACAAGAGGAGUUUGGUUUUGCCUGUUCGAGGUGGGGGUUGGGUUCAUAAUAAUAAUUGAAACAAAUGUAUCCUUAUAAAUCAAAGGAAACAACUACUGGUACAUGUGUAGCGUUUUAAAGCAUACGAAUGAUAGUUUUUCCCCUCAGUAAGACGAUUGUAAAAGUGAGCUGCUGUUUCAAUUUCUAAAGCAGUUAUGUCGCAUUCACUUGCUAUAGUCCACUGAAACCCUUGCGGCCUCCGUAGCGCUCACUAUAUUGUGCAGCUUUGUGAAUAGCCCCAUAUCCAGUUGCAGUGCACAGACUACACGUUGUUGAGAUGGCAUUACCUCUUUCUGGUCCAGACUAUACAACCUCCCCGCCCCCACCUCCUCCCCCGCCCGUCUAAUCGCGGACUUCCUGGGAAAAUCAGGCAGCGUUCAUCCUGAAGUGAGUAUUUAAAUUAGAGGAUUUGAGGAGCUCCGGAUGGGAAGUCACCCCCGAAUGCCUCUAACUAAACUCCCGUCUUGGAUCUUAACCCCUUGGCUUCACGUCUGUUUCAAGGAGAAGGGCGUUUGGACUCAGAAACGGAAGGCAGAUUAUAUUUCUGGGCUUCACAGUUUUCUUCUUACUUGAAGCCAUUCACUGACUGCCACAGAGGAUGGUUCAAAAAGAUCCUAGCAUUAAGGAAAUCACCACAGGAAGUGACUACAAAUUAAUUGAAGACAUUGAAGAGAGAGUGGAAAAGGAAGAAAAAGCAGCCUACUGAUCAGUACUUCAUCUAUUACCUUCACCAUCAUGGCAGCAGUGCGUAGCAAGAACAAGAUACAUUGCUGGAAUUCAUCCAGGUUUCUUCAGUGGCACCUACUAUUUCUGUGACCUCCACCACUUAGGGCAGCAAGCAAAUCGAAUCACAACCACCUGCAAGUUUGCUUAAGGUCACACAAUGUUCAAUUUGGGGGAUUAUAUUGCUAUUUCUUCACUGAUACUUAGUCAAAAUCCUGGCACUCACUCUUCAAAAGCAGUGUAGAUGGCACAUCACCUGGACUGCAACAGUUCAUCAAGAUGGCUCAUCACCACAUUCUCAUGAGCAUUUAGGCAGUUGACAAGUGCUGGCCUUGCCAGUGAUAUUUCCAUCCAUGAAGAGAAAGUCCACCAAGUUAUGAUUGUAUGACCCCUGUGUCCAGUGGACAGUGUGAUUUGUGAUAAUCACACACAGCAAUCUUUCAAAUAAGAUCACAAAGCUUUUACUCUCUCUGCAUUAUAUUGAAUGAACAUGGGUUAAUCAUGCACUGUGAUUUAAUUCAACACUUUUGUUGGUUAGAGCUUGCCCUUUCAUUAAGCACCUCACCAAAGAUUUAUUCCAUGAACAUUAACCUAGUAGGGGGAGGAACAAGUAAUAACUUCAUCGAUUUAAAAAAAAGACACCGAGUUUUAAUAGAUUUCAUAAGGCAAAUAAUAUUUUAGUGUUUCACCAGCACACUUGCAAUUGGUCAGUGGGAUGAGGAACUGUCCAAUCAUAACACAUCUGAGUAUCCUAACCUAAGUAUUGUACAUAUUAGAAUCUGAAAUAAAAAAACAAAAUACUAGAAUAUUGCAAACCAGAAAGCAUCAGUGGCUAGUAACAGAGUUAAUAUUCCAAUUCAAUGAAAACCUUUCAUCCUGUUCUUGGUGAAGAAUCAUUGACCUGAAACAUUGACUUUAUUUCUCUCCACAGAUGUGGUGUGACAUACGAAGUGAUUUGACCAUUUUCUAUUGUUACUUUUCCGAGUUCCUAAGUUGGAUUCUAGUUGUGCAGUGAUUUAGAUACCUUGGUGACACAAGGGCAACAAACAAUCUCAAUACCCAUUAGCCAAAAGGGGAAAGAUCAAGAUUCUCACUGUCAAAUGAUUAAAAAUAUGCACAUGCCUCUUGAGUUUUGUUAUUUAUAUAAUAUGGAAGAAGGUUGCUAGAAACUGUCACAUUAGAAUUGUUGCAUAUCGCAUUAACAUUUACAAUAAAAAAUGAAUAUUUAAUCUGUUUAAUGUUGGCUUACAGAUGAAAGGACCUGGAUUUAUGGCUCUCUGGCACCACAUUCACAGGCAGCAGAACUCCUCUGGAGCAGAAGUGACCUGUACAAAAGGGACGGGUUGCACCUUAA